rnacentral:rRNA from 1 species
AUUGAACGCUGGCGGCAGGCCUAACACAUGCAAGUCGAACGAGUGGCGGACGGGUGAGUAAUGUCUGGGAAACUGCCUGAUGGAGGGGGAUAACUACUGGAAACGGUCGCUAAUACCGCAUACCAUCGGAUGUGCCCAGAUGGGAUUAGCUAGUCGGUGGGGUAAAGGCUAACCUAGGCGACGAUCCCUAGCUGGUCUGAGAGGAUGACCAGCAAAACGGGAACUGAGACACGGUCCAGACGCCUACGGGAGGCAGCAGUGGGGAAGAUUGAACAAUGGGCGCAAGCAUGAUGCAGCCAUGCCGCGUGUAUGAAGAAGGCCUUCGGGUUGUAAAGUACUGUCAGCGGGGAGGCGUUACCCGCAGAAGAAGCACCGGCUAACUCAGUGCCAGCAGCCGCGGUAAUAC